rnacentral:lncRNA from 1 species
GUAGAAUCCCUGUGAAUACCUCAACUGUGUGUUCUGGGAAGUUUAGAAAACAUUAUAUCCUAUUCAUUUCUUAACUUUCUCUGUUGGCAUCUGUCAAGGAUAUUGAAAAGAUAUGUUCAUGUUCAACUUUUCCUGGUUCUCAUUUGGACUCUUUCUCAGAUGACCAAAAUCUCAUGCUAAAUUGAUUUCAGACUCCGAUAGGAGAAAAUCUAUCAUUUCCCCCAGUAUUGCAGCAAUCACACCACAGCCUGGAGCUGAUUAGUCUGCUCAGUGCCACAGCCUCAGCCAGGCCAGGCCAGGGGCUGGGAGCUUUCCAAGCUGACCAUCACUCCCAGAUCAAAUUCAUCUCCUCCGAGCUCAGCCUGCUCCCAUGCUCAAAAUCUCAAGAAUCUACCCAUGUAGCGUUCCUUCCCUUUCUCUUUGGAACCAUGGAGCUCCACUGGAAAGGAACCUGGGUACCUGACACCUUGGAAGGGUCCUGACAUUUGUUCCUUUCCAACUGAAAGUCUUCCUUGAGGGGUGGAGCAAACUGAAGGCCCCCGCUAGCCCCACGUAUUGCCCAAAGACUCUCUGAGGCUCUGUGCUGCUUACUUCCUACCAGGCAGAGAUUACUAGCCUCCUCAGCAGAUGAAAAAACGAAAGCUCAGAGCGAUGAACAAUAAGUUACUAGUGAACUGGUGAUGAAAAUUAAAGAAGGCUUUUGAACAUGAAUAUACCUUUUCAAUAUCCUUGACAGAUGCCAACAGAAAAAGUUAAGAAAUGAAUAGGAUACAAUGUUUUCUAAACUGUUCCCAUAACACAUAGUUGGGUAUUUGCAGGGACUUAUUAUUCAGUUAGAACAAUAAGUGACUUAUUGAUUAACUGCUUCUAAAUGAUAUAAAUAGGGUUUAAACUAGUAUUUAUCAUGUAUACACAAUAAAGAUUUAUUGUUAACAUAAAUUGAGCAUUUAUCAUAUUCUAAUCACUGUUCCAUUAGAUUGAACCACAUAAAAUUGCUGCUCUUUCACCUAUCAAAUGGCAAUUUCAUGUGGUUUAACCUAAUAGUUGUCUCAUUUGAUUUCAACAAUAGCCUUAGAUGCAACUGUUUUUAAUGUCAUUUGUAGAAGAGGAAAUGGAAGCUCAGCAAGAUUAAAUAAUGUGCACAGAAUUAAGCAGUCAAUAAGGGGGACUUCUCCCCCAACCUCAAACCAAGCAAUUCUUCUUCACCAUGAAGUGGUGACUCUGAUGAAGUGAUGUGACACUUUUAUUGUCUCCAGUGAUGGUAAUUUUGAGUUUAUUAGUUCAGUCACUUCAUUCAGUAUACUGAGCACAUACUGUAGAUGUGAAUCAUAUGUAUUCAGCCUUUGAAAGAACAGAAAGGUGGAAAAUCAAGCUAGUUAGCCAGAGUUGGGUUUUACAAAAACAGUGAAACAAAACCAUCUGAAACUGAUUUUUUUUUCAUUAUCUAUGCAGGUAGGUCUUGAAGAUUGUUUCUUAAGUUCUCAGAGGUUGGUUAUUACUGGAAAAAAUUAAGUGUUGAUUUCUAAAGUAACUGGACCCUUUGGAUAGUGUAGGUUCUUGUGUGUUUGUUCAGUCGUUACUUUCAUUGUACCCUCUGCCUGGGAUGCUUUGUUCCUAAUCACAAGAUCUUUUAAGUCUUACCUCUGCGGUCACUCUUUCUGUAGGGAUCCUUCAUUAUUUUCCCUCUGUAAAUGAACUGUCCCUCAUUUUGGCUCUCAUUGCAGUUGUUUUCACUUUUCGUAUGUCACCAGUCUCCUUUCCUAAAUUAUGUUUUAUUAUCCAUUCAUCUAUUCACCCAUCCAUCCAUCCAUUCACCCAUCCAUCCAUCCAUCAUACUACACAUCUAUAAAUUUCUAGUCAGUGUUAGGGGCCCUGAAGUUGUAGGGGUGAAAUGAUACAGUUUCCACCCUCAGAGGCUUAAUGGGGAGACAGAGAAACAAACAGAACAUUUCAGUCAACUAUAGGUCUCCUUAUUCCAGCUCUAACUCAUCUGAAAAUGCACUCCUAUCAGUGACAGUUGCUCAUGAUGGCUGUGAUUCUGGUGGAUGAUAAAGAUUGGUGGGGAGAUAAAAGAGAGAAAGGAAGAAAUAUGCUCCCUGUGCUCCAGAAUGGGGUUGGGAAACACAUGAUGCAUGUCUCUCCAGCCCACUCCAGCCUCCUGAGCUGAGGAUCAGCAAGACAGAUUAUGCAGUGCGUCUUUGCAACAGAGAGGAGGUCUGCUCAUCCCACAUUUGGAGCACCCGUGGGUGGAGCAGGGAAGAUUUCUGGGAAACAGUGUUUGAAUUGAAUCAUGAAAAUGAGUAGGAGUCUGCUACAUGGGUAAGGGAGGGAAGAAAAGUCAGUAGAGAAGGUAGGCAGUGCUUGCAAAGGCCUGAGGUAAGAGAUAGCAUGCUGUGUGUCCACGCACGUGUGUGUAUGUGUGUGUGUGUGUCUAUAAGAAGUCUGCUAUGGCUACUUUAAGAUGAAAAGUGGAAUUUGGCAGGAAUUGAGUGGUCAAGAGCAAGCAGUGAGAUAAUGACAUUUUUCAAAAAGAUAGCAGUUUGGAGAAUGGGGAACGCAUAUCUUACAUCCAUCAUUAGACUGUGAUCUGCUUGAGGGUGGAGAUUUUAACCCUGCUUAUAUCCUGGUAUGCCAAGCUCCUAGAAUAUCACUCCACACGCUUUGGAAUUGCACUAUAGCCUGGAUAUCACAUUUCUUUCAUUCUGAGGUGGCUGGCUUGAGGAGAAUGAAUGUCAGGAGAAUAUUGCUAGUUUUUAGGGGAGACACAGGGGAAAGAGAGGCACUGGGAUAUGAGUGAGAGGAGUCUUUGAAAGAAAAAUGAGGCUUAAAUCCAUUAUCACCAGCAUUAAAAUACAGCAUUUCUUCUCUGAAUAGUAUUUGUUCCUGUUUACUUUCUUCCUUGUGGCAUUGAGCUGGGCUGCAUUUGCCAUUUAGGCAUAAUUACUAUUUUAUUAUUAUUUUUUUUCACAGUUAAGUGGAGCAUUUGAGCACAGCUGAAUUGCUGGGAGCCUCGGUGGAAGAAAUCUAUUAGUGAUACGGCUUGAAACAAUACACAAAAGGCCGCUGCGUGUGGUCUGCCCUCCACGCUUUCAACUUCCUUAUGUGGAACAAUAAAUCUCCGAGUCAGCUAGAACGCAGAGACUCCCAUCCAA